rnacentral:rRNA from 1 species
GUGUCAGCAGCCGCGGUAAGACAGAGGGUGCAAACGUUGCUCGGAAUUACUGGGCGUAAAGCGCGUGUAGGUGGCCACGCAAGUCAGGUGUGAAAGCCCAGGGCUCAACCCUGGAAGUGCACAUGAUACUACGUGGCUGGAGUACUGAAGAGGAGAGCGGAAUUCCCGGUGUAGAGGUGAAAUUCGUAGAUAUCGGGAGGAACACCAGUGGCGAAGGCGGCUCUCUGGGCAGAUACUGACACUGAGACGCGAAAGCGUGGGUAGCAAACAGGAUUAGAUACCCUGGUAGUCC